CGUAGGGUGCGAGCGUUAAUCGGAAUUACUGGGCGUAAAGCGUGCGCAGGCGGCUCUGUAAGACAGAUGUGAAAUCCCCGGGCUCAACCUGGGAACUGCAUUUGUGACUGCAAGGCUAGAGUGCGUCAGAGGGAGGUGGAAUUCCGCGUGUAGCAGUGAAAUGCGUAGAGAUGCGGAGGAACACCGAUGGCGAAGGCAGCCUCCUGGGAUGACACUGACGCUCAUGCACGAAAGCGUGGGGAGCAA
rnacentral:rRNA from 1 species